GACUAGGAUCCGACCAAAGCAAAUCACAAAGCAAACCCGAAUCCGGAACAUCAGUCGGGCGCGACAAGUUCCGUAUCUGAUCUAAGUUAGUUAGAUCAGGAGAAAGACCACCAUGCAUGCAUAGUAUCUUGUCAUCGAUAAGAGCAGCCACAGGAAGACAGUUGAAACAGUCAGUAAAAACUUUCCAAAGUCGAACAUUGAAACGGCGUUUGCAUUCAUCAUAAAAUCCGUAUAUCCUGUUGAUGGAAGCACAUUCAUGGUUUCCUCUUAGAAGGAAGAAAUUUUCGGGGUAUUUGAUUUUGUAGGCAAGUAAAAGGCAUAUGGUUUCCAGACUUUGCUUGCCACGGUCCACGUAAUCACCUAGGAAUAAAUAGUUUGAUUCGGGAGGAAAUCCGCCGUAUUCGAAUAACCUUAAGAGGUCCCCGUAUUGUCCGUGAAUGUCACCUAUCUUAAUCGGAGCUUCGAGCUCUAACAAAUUAGGCUGUUGAAGAAAAAUCUCACGAGAAGUGGUACAAAGCAAGCGGAUCUCCGCCUCGGAGAGCUGAACCUGGCGUGUGGUCCUGGCUUGCCUGAACUCCAACAAGCGGUUGAUAAUAUCAUCGAGUAAGUUAGGGUUCAUCGUCUGUCCAUUUUGAGCCAUUGAUCUCUUCCAGAAACCCUAGAUCUCGAUGAUGAAUGUGGCGGAAAGCCCUAAUUGAGAAUGGCUUUUUGUGUUUGGUUUGGUGGAAUAAACAAUGGAAAAGUUGU
rnacentral:lncRNA from 1 species